UCCCACGUGGCUCAGUGGUAAAGAAUCUGCCUGCUAAGCAGGAGAUGCAGGUUGGAUCUCUGGUUUGGGAG
rnacentral:tRNA from 1 species